rnacentral:rRNA from 2 species
CCUACGGGAGGCAGCAGUGGGGAAUCUUAGACAAUGGGGGCAACCCUGAUCUAGCCAUGCCGCGUGAGUGAUGAAGGCCUUAGGGUCGUAAAGCUCUUUCGCCUGUGAUGAUAAUGACAGUAGCAGGUAAAGAAACCCCGGCUAACUCCGUGCCAGCAGCCGCGGUAAUACGGAGGGGGUUAGCGUUGUUCGGAAUUACUGGGCGUAAAGCGCGCGUAGGCGGAUUAGAAAGUUGGGGGUGAAAUCCCGGGGCUCAACCCCGGAACUGCCUCCAAAACUGCUAGUCUAGAGUUCGAGAGAGGUGAGUGGAAUUCCGAGUGUAGAGGUGAAAUUCGUAGAUAUUCGGAGGAACACCAGUGGCGAAGGCGGCUCACUGGCUCGAUACUGACGCUGAGGUGCGAAAGUGUGGGGAGCAAACAGGAUUAGAUACCCUGGUAGUCCACACCGUAAACGAUGAAUGCCAGUCGUCGGAUAGUAUACUAUUCGGUGACACACCUAACGGAUUAAGCAUUCCGCCUGGGGAGUACGGUCGCAAGAUUAAAACUCAAAGGAAUUGACGG